rnacentral:sRNA from 12 species
UUCCUAAACCCUAACGGGCAUGGAACAAAGUCCUCGACAGUAGCAAGCUCUCGUUAGAGCGCUGUCGAGGCUGCAUGCCGAAAGGCGUGUAGGUGGCGCAAGCCAUC